AGACAUAGAUACACAUAGUCUCAUGUGUCUCAAAAGAUUAUGAGAGAAAAAGUUAUGCUAAAAGGGCUAUAGAAAUUAUAAUACAAAUAAUAAUAAUAUGUUGGGUAAUUUAAUUAUAUCUCUUAAAAUAUUCAAAAAUAAGCUAAAUCAGACAAGUCGGUGGGGAACCAGUAAAGUUCAGACUGAUUUUUCGACAAAUGAGAUGAACCAGACCGCAUUGGUACAUCUCGAUAUAGUACGGACACGAAUCGCUACGUACGGUGCGGUAUGGACUGGUACA
rnacentral:lncRNA from 1 species